rnacentral:rRNA from 1 species
GUGGGGAAUAUUGGACAAUGGGGGGAACCCUGAUCCAGCCAUGCCGCGUGUGUGAAGAAGGCCUUUUGGUUGUAAAGCACUUUAAGCGAGGAGGAGGCUACCGAGAUUAAUACUCUUGGAUAGUGGACGUUACUCGCAGAAUAAGCACCGGCUAACUCUGUGCCAGCAGCCGCGGUAAUACAGAGGGUGCGAGCGUUAAUCGGAUUUACUGGGCGUAAAGCGUGCGUAGGCGGCUUUUUAAGUCGGAUGUGAAAUCCCCGAGCUUAACUUGGGAAGUGCAUUCGAUACUGGGAAGCUAGAGUAUGGGAGAGGAUGGUAGAAUUCCAGGUGUAGCGGUGAAAUGCGUAGAGAUCUGGAGGAAUACCGAUGGCGAAGGCAGCCAUCUGGCCUAAUACUGACGCUGAGGUACGAAAGCAUGGGGAGCAAACAGGAUUAGAAACCCUGGUAGUCC